AUACGGGGGAUGCGAGCGUUAUCCGGAUUUAUUGGGUUUAAAGGGUGCGUAGGCUGCGCGACAAGUCGGCGGUGAAACCCCGGGGCUCAACCCCGGGCCUGCCGUCGAAACUGUCGCGCUGGAGUUCGGAUGCCGUGGGAGGAAUGAGUGGUGUAGCGGUGAAAUGCAUAGAUAUCACUCAGAACACCGAUUGCGAAGGCAUCUCACGAAUCCGAGACUGACGCUGAGGCACGAAAGCGUGGGGAUCAAACAGGAUUAGAUACCCUGGUAGUCCACGCAGUAAACGAUGAUGACUAACCGUCGGCGAUACACAGUCGGUGGCCAAGCGAAAGCGAUAAGUCAUCCACCUGGGGAGUACGACCGCAAGGUUGAA
rnacentral:rRNA from 1 species